GAUGGACGCUGGCGGCGUGCCUAAUACAUGCAAGUCGAGCGAACAGACGAGGAGCUUGCUCCUCUGACGUUAGCGGCGGACGGGUGAGUAACACGUGGAUAACCUACCUAUAAGACUGGGAUAACUUCGGGAAACCGGAGCUAAUACCGGAUAAUAUAUUGAACCGCAUGGUUCAAUAGUGAAAGACGGUUUUGCUGUCACUUAUAGAUGGAUCCGCGCCGCAUUAGCUAGUUGGUAAGGUAACGGCUUACCAAGGCGACGAUGCGUAGCCGACCUGAGAGGGUGAUCGGCCACACUGGAACUGAGACACGGUCCAGACUCCUACGGGAGGCAGCAGUAGGGAAUCUUCCGCAAUGGGCGAAAGCCUGACGGAGCAACGCCGCGUGAGCGAUGAAGGUCUUCGGAUCGUAAAACUCUGUUAUUAGGGAAGAACAAAUGUGUAAGUAACUAUGCACGUCUUGACGGUACCUAAUCAGAAAGCCACGGCUAACUACGUG
rnacentral:rRNA from 1 species